rnacentral:lncRNA from 1 species
AGUCAGAUGACUUGUAAAUGUAGCGUGUCUGCCUUCAAGCUUGGGAAGCUCUACUGAAAUCAAGAAAUGCUACCAUUGAGAAAUUCACCUGCAACGAUACAAACACCAGAAACAUAGUCUGCCAUUUAAUUCGAAUACUUGCUGUGGAAAACAAGCAUAAUUUUAGAUCCUUAGCUGUGGUUAAGGAUCUUCAUGCUCACUAAGGUGACUAAAGCACAGAAAGGCCACUAAGGGUCAGCAAUUCUUAUUAUUCAGACUUUAAAGUGAAUUCUAAUGUUUCUGAAAGGAACUAGAUUGACAGCCAGUGGAAGUGAAGUCCUUCUUCCAUCUGCAAAACAAGAUUUGAAGAGCACUGGUACUUUCUCUCUGUGAAUGUGCUUGCACUCUUGAAUAGAGUUACUACUCAGUCUUCUUUUUGAGCAGAUUGAGCUAUGUCACUCUCUCACUGAAAGAUGUUUUGUCCAAUCACUGAGCUUUUGAGGCUUCUUUUUUUUCUUAGUGUUUUUUUUCUUUUUUUAAAAUUUUUGUGUGUAUGCGCAUAUGUUUUUUAUUUGUUUUAAACACCACCUUCAGUUUUUCAACUUUCUUUUGAAAAGGUGAACACCAGAAGGGGAUCUAGUAUUACAGCAUUUAUUACAGUGAUAUUGUAUUUAGAGAUAUAACUACCUUUCUACUCCUUUGCUUAUAUAUGAGCUUUUUUGUUAAGUAAGGGCUGUAUUCCUUUUUUCUCUAAAUCUAUGAAGUUAACUGUAUUAAAAUGUGCUUUAUUUAGAACAUCUGCUUUACCAUGUGUACUAUAAAAUACAGUACUUAAAGCAAGUUACUUAUAGUUUAUUAUUAUGUGCUUUCAAGGUGAGAAGAUUUAGUGACUGUAUUUUGGAAAAUAUUCAUGUGAAUUAAAUGAGCUUCACCACUUUUUUUAAAGUAUUGCUAUCAUAAGUAAUGUAAUAUUUUGAAUAUGGUUGUAUUAAUAGAUAAUACUAGUUUUCACAGUAUCCAGACAUUACUUACUCUUUGCAAAGACAUUUUGAAUGAACUUUUCAUAUUUGAUUUGCGGUCAAAUAUGUCUAUAAUCUCCAUUAAUUGUUAAUAUGAAUUUAAUCCAUAAAUAAAGUAGUUG